ensembl:lncRNA
ACUGCUUGUCCACUGAGGCUGAGCUGUUCUUUGCUGUCUGUACAUUUACAUACAUUCAUGGUUGUGUACAUGCCUACUUCUUCAAUUCUAGAGACAAAACAGUGGUCUAUAGUUCUUCAACCCUGGCUCAGUGAGAAACAGUGACUGAAAAAUAUGGGAAGAAAUAACGGGGGGAAAAAAGCUCUACGGAGGUCAUUGUGGUGCUCAGAACUGAUGUGAGGUUUGGCAACGCUGAAUCCGAAAGAGGGAAGGAGAACUGGAGUGUACCAUGAAAUUCUCAGGUUGGGCACAAUGUGUAUGACAUUUCCAGCAUAACUGGAUUGAAUGUGAAAACCUAUGGAGAGUGUGAUACUUCUUUUCCUUUCAAAUCCACUCUUUGGUGGAAAGGAGCCCUCUUACAUUAUGAGCAAAAGAACCCCUCAUGCAUAAAAAUAGGGAGCAGAAGAACCUUUAAGCAUAC